UUAUCCUAGUCUAUAAAAGCC
rnacentral:piRNA from 1 species